GCCAGCGUAGGAUAAUGGUUUGACUGCUGGACUAGGACUCCAGGAGACGAGGGUUCGAAUCCCCUCCUUGGCC